rnacentral:lncRNA from 1 species
UGCAGAUGUGUCAGACCUAAAACAAAAGUAUCAGAAACUCAUAUUACUGUAUCAUCCAGAUAAACAAAGUGCAGAUGUGCCAGCAGGAACCAUGGAGGAGUGUGUGCAGAAGUUCAUUGAAAUUGAUCAGGCAUGGAAAAUUUUAGGGAAUGAAGAAACCAAGAAAAAGUAUGACCUGCAGCGGCAUGAAGAUGAGCUAAGAAAUGUGGGGCCAGUAGAUGCACAGGUACACCUUGAAGAGAUGUCCUGGAACAAAGAUGAGGAGUCUUUCUCUCUGAGCUGUCGAUGUGGUGGGAAGUACACUGUCUACAAAGAUGAAGCACAAGAAGCAAACCUUAUUUCCUGUGAUACGUGCUCACUGAUUGUGGAACUCCUUCAUCAGAGCUGAGCUGAGUGUUCAUCCCUGGGGUGCUUUAACUACAAGGAGAAGGAUGCUUUUUGUUAUUAGCUGUAUAAUUUGUGAAGAUGAUGAAAUCUUCAAGCAAAGACCACCAGAUUAACAAAUAAAUUCAGUUGUUUAUAUAUCUAAAAUGU